ACUGCUCAGUAACACGUUGGAUAACCUACCCAAGAGUCUGGGAUAACCCCGGGAAACUGGGGAUAAUACCGGAUAGAUCAUCUUUGCUGGAAGGCUUGGUGGUUGAAACCUCUGGGGCUUUUGGAUGGGUCUGCGGCUGAUUAGGUUGUUGCCGGUGUAACGUACCGUCAAGCCUGUAAUCAGUACGGGUUGUGGGAGCAAGAGCCCGGAGAUGGAUUCUGAGACACGAAUCCAGGCCCUACGGGGCGCAGCAGGCGCGAAAACUCUACAAUGCAGGCAACUGCGAUAGGGGAACAUCGAGUGAUCCUCAUAUUGGGGGUCUGUCCACCCGCCUAAAAAGCGGGUGUUAGCAAGGGCCGGGCAAGACCGGUGCCAGCCGCCGCGGUAAUACCGGCGGCUCGAGUGGUGGCCGAUAUUAUUGAGUCUAAAGGGUCCGUAGCCGGCUUUGCAAGUCUCUCGGGAAAUCCAGCGGCUUAACCGUUGGUCGUCCGGGGGGUACUACAUUGCUUGGGACUGGGAGAGGCGAGAGGUACUCAGGGGGUAGGAGUGAAAUCCUGUAAUCCUCUGGGGACCACCGGUGGCGAAGGCGUCUCGCCAGAACAGGUCCGACGGUGAGGGACGAAAGCUAGGGGCACGAACCGGAUUAGAUACCCGGGUAGUCCUAGCCGUAAACGAUGCUCGCUAGGUGUCACAACAGUCGUGAAUCUGUUGUGGUGCCGUAGGGAAGCCGUGAAGCGAGCCACUUGGGAAGUACGACCGCAAGGUUGAAACUUAAAGGAAUUGGCGGGGGAGCAC
rnacentral:rRNA from 1 species